CUGAAGCUAUUGACCUGAACAUGUAGGCUCUUGUUGCUCAGAAACAUAUAUCGUUAGUUGUCAUCCUUGUGAAGAUCGCCGAUGAGUGGAAGACAAGCCAUGGAGGUACUCUACCAUCUACUAGGGAAGGAAAAAAGAAUUCAAGGAACUUCUCAAAACCAGGAUGGCUGCAAUGGAUGAAAACAUCUAUAAAGAAGCUAUUGACGCCUCCUUUAAUUGAGGAAUCAAUAAGUUUGUCUUAGCAAUGAAUAUUUGAGGCACCUUGCCCUUCGUUCAGGGUAAUUCAUUACAUCCUACUUUUUUGGCAAAGAACUUUGAUUAAUGUGAAACGAAGAGUUGGGAAAGUAUCCUUUGAAUGAUUUGGUAGACAGAUGUUUUAUAUUGUAGUUAACAUAAGUUACUUAUGUAAGUUAUUUAUAUAAUCUCGGUGCAUGGAGGUCUGGCUGUCUAUAACUAAAGCUAGCACUGUUUGAGAGUGACUUCUAAAAACAUCUUCUGCAAAUUUUACUUGAUCAAGUGUACAGUUUUUAAUGUUUUUUUUUUGUUAUAAUUUUGGACUUUCGUUGUAAAUUGAAGACACAAUCCAGAGGAUAGUUCCAGUAUUACAUUAAAUUUUAGUAGAAUGUAAAUUGUAUAUUUUAUUGAUUU